AGAUGAAUCUAAGAAGAAAAACCCCAAUAAAACAGCUUUGUUUCUAACCUUUGAAUGAGAGCCCACAUUUGGUUACCUAAAAAGGAGAACUUCCUAGACCUAAGCUGGAGUUUGGGUAUGAGACUGACUUACUAUUUCUGGAACGUAAACAGCAGAACUUACUGUUAAGGCUCAACAUUCGUAUAUGUAAACUAAAUAAAAAGUCCAUAGUUGUAUGCAAGGGGAAUCCUCAAGUACCUAGGAACAGAGCAGUGCA